UACGGAGGGUGCAAGCGUUAUCCGGAUUCACUGGGUUUAAAGGGUGCGUAGGUGGCGCCAUAAGUCAGGUGUGAAAUCUCGGGGCUCAACCCCGAAACUGCACUUGAUACUGUGGUGCUCGAGUACUGGAGAGGAGAUUGGAAUUUACGGUGUAGCAGUGAAAUGCGUAGAUAUCGUAAGGAAGACCAGUGGGGAAGGCGAAUCUCUGGACAGUUACUGACACUGAGGCACGAAGGCCAGGGGAGCAAACGGG
rnacentral:rRNA from 1 species